UACGAAGGGGGCUAGCGUUGCUCGGAAUCACUGGGCGUAAAGCGCACGUAGGCGGAUUGUUAAGUCAGGGGUGAAAUCCUGGAGCUCAACUCCAGAACUGCCUUUGAUACUGAGGGUCUUGAGUUCGGGAGAGGUGAGUGGAACUGCGAGUGUAGAGGUGAAAUUCGUAGAUAUUCGCAAGAACACCGGUGGCGAAGGCGGGUCUCUGGGCCGAUACUGACGCUGAGGAGCGAAAGCGUGGGGAGCGAACAGG
rnacentral:rRNA from 1 species